rnacentral:lncRNA from 1 species
GGCCACCGUGGACGGCGGGUCGUCGGCGGUGGUCGGGCGGAGGCAGGCGGGGAGCGGGGAGGAGCGGGCGGACAUCGGUGGUUGUCUCCGGCGACGAGGGGGUUGCUUCCCUUAGGGUUUUGGGGGAAAGGGUUAUUGCGAAGGAGGAAUUUUCCUUUUCCGGGACGAAGUUUUCGUGGGUCAAUUUGAGAAAGGAGAAAAGUAUUUUGGUAAAAUAAUUUUGGGUGGGGGAAAAAUAGGGGAUUGAGACUUUUGACUUUUCAGAGGAGCCGACUUCGGGAAGAGAAGAAUG